rnacentral:rRNA from 1 species
UGCAGUCGAGCGCGAAAGGCCUUCGGGCUGAGUAGAGCGGCGGACGGGUGAGUAACGCGUAGGAAUCUACCUGGUAGUGGGGGACAACUUGGGGAAACUCAAGCUAAUACCGCAUACGCCCCAAGGGGGAAAGCGGGGGACCUUCGGGCCUCGCGCUAUCAGAUGAGCCUGCGUAGGAUUAGCUAGUUGGUGAGGUAAAGGCUCACCAAGGCGACGAUCCUUAGCUGGUCUGAGAGGAUGAUCAGCCACACUGGGACUGAGACACGGCCCAGACUCCUACGGGAGGCAGCAGUGGGGAAUAUUGCGCAAUGGGGGCAACCCUGACGCAGCCAUGCCGCGUGUGUGAAGAAGGCCUUCGGGUUGUAAAGCACUUUCAAUGGGGAAGAAAAGCGUAGCGUUAAUAGCGUUGCGCCGUGACGUUACCCAUAGAAGAAGCACCGGCUAACUCCGUGCCAGCAGCCGCGGUAAUACGGAGGGUGCGAGCGUUAAUCGGAAUUACUGGGCGUAAAGCGCGCGUAGGCGGUUUGUUAAGUCAGCUGUGAAAGCCCCGGGCUCAACCUGGGAACUGCAGUUGAUACUGGCCACCUUAGAGUAAGAGAGAGGGAGGUAGAAUUCCAUGUGUAGCGGUGAAAUGCGUAGAUAUAUGGAGGAAUACCGGUGGCGAAGGCGGCCUCCUGGCUCGAUACUGACGCUGAGGUGCGAAAGCGUGGGGAUCAAACAGGAUUAGAUACCCUGGUAGUCCACGCCGUAAACGAUGUCUACUAGCCGUUGGGAGACUUGAUUUCUUAGUGGCGCAGCUAACGCAAUAAGUAGACCGCCUGGGGAGUACGGCCGCAAGGUUAAAACUCAAAUGAAUUGACGGGGGCCCGCACAAGCGGUGGAGCAUGUGGUUUAAUUCGAUGCAACGCGAAGAACCUUACCAGGUCUUGACAUCCAGAGAACUUUCCAGAGAUGGAUUGGU